rnacentral:rRNA from 1 species
CCUACGGGUGGCAGCAGUGAGGAAUAUUGGUCAAUGGGCGCGAGCCUGAACCAGCCAAGUAGCGUGAAGGAUGACUGCCCUACGGGUUGUAAACUUCUUUUAUAAAGGAAUAAAGUGAGGCACGUGAGCCUUUUUGUAUGUACUUUAUGAAUAAGGAUCGGCUAACUCCGCGCCAGUAGCCGCGGUAAGACGGAGGAUCCGAGCGUUAUCCGGAUUUAUUGGGUGUAACGGGAGCGUAGAUGGGUUGUUAAGUCAGUUGUGAAAGUUUGCGGCUUAACCGUAGAACUGCAAUUGAUACUGGCAGUCUUGAGUACAGUUGAGGUAGGCGGAAUUCGUGGUGUAGCGGUGAAAUGCUUAGAUAUCACGAAGAACUCCGAUUGCGAAGGCAGCUUACUAGACUGCCACUGACAUUGAUGCUCGAAAGUGUGGGUAUCAAACAGGAUUAGAUACCCCUGUAGUC